AACAGAGUGUCUAGCUUGCUAUCUGUCUAGAAGAAUAGAGCCCUGAAAUUACCACAAUAGGGUUUUACAUUGUUUUUGGACUAAGUUUUAAGGAUUUUUAUUUGCUCAUUUGGGGUGUGUGUGUGUGCGUGAAGCACAUAUGUAUUUGAACGUCUUAAUCUCGAUUUUCUUCGGUGGGUCCUUAAUUCAUUUUACGUUGAAUUUUUUUUGCAUCUUCAGAGUGUAUGGCACAUGCCCUAUUCCCUUCUGUUCCAGUACUAUGUUUUGUACAGUUUCCUGUAAAUAGCAGUAGACACUGGCGGGUUGGCUCAGUGUUCUUGCAGUAUUUACAGCGGACAUUUCUCGGCAUAAUGAAUCUCUUUUUAAAAUGUUGGUCCCAUUCUCAUCAGCACCGACCCAGUGCCUUGAGAUGAAUCGAAAUGCUGAAGGGUGAAAAGCAAUAAGCUGUACUCUAGAAAAGAAAGGAAACAGGAAUUACGAGCCGUUUCCCUACAGGGUACACUGUCUUCGGUUUAGAGCAAAGCAGAAGCUGGCUGGUUUUUGAGUUCUGUAGCAUAUUGCAGUAAGGGUUGGAUUUAGGAGCAUCGAGAAGCAGAGGUCUUAAUUCAGGGGCACUUCCAGACUAUUCUCAAAGAGUGGCCAACAUGAAAUGAGAGAGAUCACAAGCAGGCAGAGAGGCAGGCAGAGAGAGAGAGAGAGAGGAGGAAGCAGGCUCCCCGCUGAGCAGAGAGCCCGACGCGGGACUCAAUCCCAGGACCCUGAGAUCAUGACCUGAGCCAAAGGCAGCGGCUUAACCCACUGAGCCACCCAGUCGCCCGACAGAGAAAAUUUUUUCCAACAAAAAGUUCUUUAAGUUUUCAGGCAUGAGAGUGAGAUAAUCAACUGUACGGUGGGGUAGGGGAGAGCCUGGCUGGGGCCAGAGAGACCCACUGAAGAGUAAGAAAGUAUAAAAACUUUGAACUAUGGCCUAGAUAUGGAAGGAAUAAUUGAGUGUUUAAAUGAAGACAUUACUAUUUAAUACAUUGUUUGCAAUAUUUUUUCUAUCAGUAGGAGAAUUGAAUAGACCAGACAAUAAUGUUUUCAUUGUUAACCUUGUAACACAACAAUAGGAAGUAUCUGACAGUUUGUAACACAACAAUAAAGUAAGAAAACUCAAAA